UAGGCUGAAUUCCUUCCAAACGCCGUAGGAGGCCACUGCCCGCAUUACCCGCCGGGUGUUCUCCCCAGGGUUUGGACCUCCAACGAGGCAUAAAUGAUGUGUCUGCAAGAUGGAAUACAUUUUCUAAAUAGGAGAGGAGUUUAUUGAUGGUGCCACACACUUCAAGGCUCAUCUCCUCUGCUUGCUGGCAAGUCCCAUCACCCAGGGCACGAGCAUAAAGUUCAUGCAUGGCUGCUAUUGAGCUCCUCAUUGCCUUCAUCUCACUUUCUAUGGUUACUAUUUUUUGAAUGAGGAGGGUAAGGAGGUGAUCUGAGGAGAAUCAAUAUUGAUUCGUUAAAAUUAAGGACCUGGUUUAACCAGCAGUGGAGAGAGUCAUGAAGGAGAAUCACCAAAUAACACCGAUAACGAAGGGUGUCUCUGGGUGGAGUUGGCCUUAUUGGCACAUCUGGCAUGGGAAGCUCUUCACAUCUUGAUGGCAUCUUUAUUGAUUGAUUGAAGGUGGUUUGCCUGUUGGGUAAUUUAAAUUUUUUAUUUUCCGGUG